rnacentral:rRNA from 1 species
UUAAGUAAGUAAGGGCGUACGGCGGAUGCCUUGGCCAUAUCAGCCGAAGAAGGACGCGAUAAGCUGCGAUAAGCUGCGGUGAGGUGCAAGUAACCAGUGACCCGCAGAUUUCCGAAUGGGGAAACCCGGCAGUAGUAGUACUGUCACCUCUCUUUGAGAGGAGGGCACCCGGUGAACUGAAACAUCUAAGUAGCCGGAGGAAGAGGAAUCAAAAGAGAUGCCCCCAGUAGCGGCGAGCGAAGCGGGCAAAGCCCAAACCGGAGCGGGAAACCGCACCGGGGUUGAGGACUACCAACAAGUACCUAGAUGAAGUCGAAUCAGGUGGGAACCUGAGCCAGAGACGGUGAGAGCCCGGUAGACGUAAAGAAGGGUAUGGGGUAGUAUCCGGAGUACCACGGGGCACGAGGAACCUUGUGGGAAGCAGGGGGGACCACCCUCCAAGGCGAAAUACUGAUAUGGACCGAUAGCGCAUAGUACCGUGAGGGAAAGGUGAAAAGAACCCCGGGAGGGGAAUGAAAGAGAACCUGAAACCGUAUGUCUACAAGCAGUCGAAGCACCGUAUGCGUGCGACGGCGUGCCUAUUGAAGAAUGAACCGGCGAGUUAUUUCAUCCGGCGAGGUUAAGCGGAAAACGCGGAGCCGAAGCGAAAGCGAGUCUGAACAGGGCGAUAAGUCGGAUGGAAUAGACCCGAAACCACAGUGAUCUAUCCAUGCCCAGGUUGAAGCACAGGUAAAAAUGUGUGGAGGACCGAACCAGUGAGCGUUGAAAAGCUUUUGGAUGAGGUGUGGAUAGGGGUGAAAUGCCAAUCGAACGUGGAGAUAGCUGGUUCUCCCCGAAAUAGCUUUAGGGCUAGCCUCAUGGCAAGAGUGCAGGCGGUAGAGCACUGAACAGGGUAGGGGCCUAUCCGGCUACCGAACCUAAUCAAACUACGAAUGGCUGUACUUAUCCAUGGGAGUCAGACUGCGAGUGAUAAGACCCGUAGUCAAGAGGGAAACAGCCCAGACCAACAGCUAAGGUCCCCAAUGCCGUACUAAGUGGUAAAGGAUGUGGAGUUUCGAAAACAACCAGGAUGUUGGCUUAGAAGCAGCCACCAUUAAAAGAGUGCGUAAUAGCUCACUGGUCGAGAGACUCUGCGCCGAAGAUGACCGGGGCUAAAGUACGGAACCGAAGCUUUGGCAUGUAUGUAAAUACAUGGGUAGGGGAGCGUUCCUGCAUGGGCGAAGCCUGACCGGAAGGACAGGUGGACAGGCAGGAAGUGAGAAUGCCGGUAUGAGUAGCGAAAAGAAAGGUGAGAAUCCUUUCCACCGAAAGCCUAAGGGUUCCUGGGCAACGAUCGUCGACCCAGGGUAAGUCGGGACCUAAUCCGAGGCGAAGACGCAUAGGAGAUGGACAACAGGUUGAAAUUCCUGUACCGACGUCGUCUGUUUGAGCGAUGGAGUGACACAAGAAGGAAAGUUCGCAUGCGAUUGGAAGAGCAUGUCUAAGCAGGUAGGUUGAAUACCAGGCAAAUCCGGUAUUCUAAAAGCCGAGACGUGAUAGGGAGCCUGUAGAGAUACAGGUGAAGGAACCGGGACUCAAUUGUCAAGAAAAGCUUCUAGUGAGGACGACGCCGCCCGUACCAAAACCGACACAGGUAGGCAAGAAGAGAAUUCUAAGGUGCGCGGGAAAACCCUCGUUAAGGAACUCGGCAAAAUGUAUCCGUAACUUCGGGAAAAGGAUAACCCAGAGUACGUGAAGGAAAGAAACAUCCGGAGCGGGAAUGGGUGGCACAAGAGAGGCCCAAGCGACUGUUUACCACAAACACAGGCGUCUGCUAAAGAGAAAUCUGAUGUAUAGAUGCUGACACCUGCCCGGUGCUGGAAGGUUAAGAGGACGUGUUAGCCGCAAGGCGAAGCAGAGAAUUGAAGCCCCAGUAAACGGCGGCCGUAACUAUAACGGUCCUAAGGUAGCGAAAUUCCUUGUCGGGUAAGUUCCG